UACGGAGGGAGCUAGCGUUGUUCGGAAUUACUGGGCGUAAAGCGCGCGUAGGCGGCUUUGUAAGUUAGAGGUGAAAGCCCGGAGCUCAACUCCGGAACUGCCUUUAAAAACUGCAUCGCUUGAAUCCAGGAGAGGUGAGUGGAAUUCCGAGUGUAGAGGUGAAAUUCGUAGAUAUUCGGAAGAACACCAGUGGCGAAGGCGGCUCACUGGACUGGUAUUGACGCUGAGGUGCGAAAAGCGUGGGGAGCAAACAGG
rnacentral:rRNA from 1 species